UACGUAGGUGGCAAGCGUUGUCCGGAUUUACUGGGCGUAAAGAGCGCGCAGGCGGUCGUGCAAGUCGCGUGUGAAAGCCCCCGGCUCAACUGGGGAGGGUCACGCGAUACUGCUCGACUCGAAGGCAGGAGAGGGAAGUGGAAUUCCCGGUGUAGUGGUGAAAUGCGUAGAUAUCGGGAGGAACACCAGUGGCGAAGGCGACUACCUGGCCUGUUUCUUGACGCUGAGGCGCGAAAGCUAGGGGAGCAGACGGG
rnacentral:rRNA from 1 species